UUCCCCUUUGCUAUUUGCUAACGCCUUCUUCGUUCUCUCUCUGCUGCGAUCCCUUCCACCGGCGGUAGCUUCCUCCCUGUCCGGUGAAUGGCGGUAGCUUCCUCUUUGUCCGGCGACCGGCGUUGGCUGCGAUCAUCUCUUCUAGCGGCAUCCAGAACUGCUACUGCCAUAGUGGGAUAAGGUUGCGCAUCGAAACAGGACCCAGAGAGGAAGUUUGUUUCGAUCGUUUGGCGUGUAGACAACCGUCCCCUGAAACUAACGGCUGCUUGUUGCUAUGGAGUUGGUAUAUUUUCUUUGAUGGUCUGUUGGUUUUUAAGUUUCCCGUGAAAGUAAGGGAUGCGGCCACUUGACUCUUUGAUGUCCCAUAGAAGCUGCUUUCUUGCUGUUACACACCAAGCUUAACGAGAAAUGCGGGGAGGAGUAAAAUCAUUGUUACGCUGGCUUAGGCACAUGUCCUUUUGAAGGUUUAUUCUAUUUUAUGGUACUUUUUGUUGUUGUUAGUUUCCUUCUUGUUUUCCAUGUUCGUGAACGAGUGAUACUGGUUGAGGCAGUUUGUCAAUGUGUGGUCCACAAGUUGGGAAUUUUAGCAAGCAUUAUAUAUAGAUCUGGUUAUUGCCAUCUCGAUGGACAUGUUUUUGAGUUCUAGGACUUAUGUCAUUUUAGAGAGUAUGACACAAUUGUGCCAGUAUAUUUGAAUCAAACUUUUUGAUUAGCAAA